UGUUGCAUUGUAAAGGGGCUUAGAAGUGCAAGAUUUGGAUAAAUUCACCUACAAAACUAAAUUACUAAAUCACCUACAUACAGCCAAGAGCUAGUUUUCAAGAAAAGGGAUUUUGGGAUUCCUGUGGCAAACAGAAAAUGAUAUCCGGAGGCUUGGUUACGUUUAGCGUCUGUUGGAAGACCAAGCUGCAUUCUGUAGCCACGUGACAACAGCAUCAAGCCACGUGACAACAGCAUCAAAUGCCUGCAAUACACUGGCUACGAAAGGAUGUUUAACAGUAACAUAUCAGACAGCAUUAUUGGUGCUGCUUUCCAGUGUUCAGGGUUUUGAAAACCACUCCAUUUCAAAUGAAGGUAUUUAAGAUAACAUCAGUUAUCCUACUUCGUCAUUUACCUUUUCCUUAAUUCAAGCUCAAUUGAGAUGGAAUAACUAAUGUGAGGCUGGGGGCAUGUGCCACUGCCAAUAUUUUCAAAAAAUUAGAAGGAAUUGACCAGUAGAAGUGUGGCUUUGUCCCUUGUUUUAUUAAUGCUUUUGUAUCAUGCCCCCCAAUAAUUAUAGGCCUGCUAGGUAGUAGGUGGAAAGAAAAGCUCUAAAUCAAGUAGAACAUAACCAAUUCAUUCUUUUUUUCUUUAUUAUGUUUGAGAGGACAGUUUAACAGUACCAGGCGAAUAAAAUAGCUUUUACAACAUAUCGGUAAUGGUGUUUAAGUAAGCUCUAAAACUCUAUUGAUGUAGGUCUUGAAAAAAGUUGAAGGUUAUCAAAAAUGGAAGUAACACUGCAACUACAAUUCACCAGAGUCAGCAAUAACAACCUUUUUACUGGUCUUGCCACUGUCACUCCCAACCUUCUCAAUCUUUUUCACAACAUCCAUUCCAUCUUUAACAGAUCCAAAUACAACAUGCUUGCCAUCUAGCCAUGAUGUCUUUGCUGUGCAAAGAAAGAACUGGGAGCCAUUGGUGCCGGGGCCAGCAUUAGCCAUGGAAAGGAUACCUGAAGAAGAAAAUUAAAAUUUAGUGUUAAACAAUCUCUACACUCUGAUUGGCUCAUUGCAUUUUCAAAUGGAAACAAUGGGAAAGGAAUUUGGUUGUUUUACAGCAGCCGCUUGUGGGGAAGGUGUGCGUGACACUGAAAUUGGCUGCUAAGCAGACUACCUAUGCACCUAUCAUUUUGCUAUAAGAGAAAUUCUGCUGUAAAUUGCUCAUGCUGAAUUGCCUCAUUUUAACAUUCUGAUGCAUGCUAGCAGGCCAACCUUAUGCGAUGUAAACCAAUUAAACCAAUGAGGAUUUUUUUUAACUUUGUAUUGUUGGACAUUGUAGCAUGCAUUGCACUAUAACAAGAAUCAUGCCAGUUUGAUUUACAUGUAUUUCCAUGUACAGUUUCCUCAAUGUGCCUAGGUUGUUUGUCAUUGCUGGCCACUGAAGCAAUAUAUAAUCCUGAAUCGGCUCAUCAGUAAAAAGACUGAUUGCA